AUACGGAGGGGGCUAGCGUUGUUCGGAAUUACUGGGCGUAAAGCGCGCGUAGGCGGAUCGUUAAGUCAGGGGUGAAAGCCCGGAGCUCAACUCCGGAAUUGCCCUUGAUACUGGCGAUCUAGAGGCCGGGAGAGGUGAGCGGAAUUCCCAGUGUAGAGGUGAAAUUCGUAGAUAUUGGGAGGAACACCAGUGGCGAAGGCGGCUCACUGGCCCGGUACUGACGCUGAGGUGCGAAAGCGUGGGGAGCAAACAGGAUUAGAAACCCUUGUAGUCC
rnacentral:rRNA from 1 species